CAAUAAGCGGAGGAAAAGAAACCAACAGGGAUUGCCUCAGUAACGGCGAGUGAAGCGGCAACAGCUCAAAUUUGAAAUCUGGCCCCCCGGGUCCGAGUUGUAAUUUGCAGAGGAUGCUUUUGGCGCGGUGCCUUCCGAGUUCCCUGGAACGGGACGCCAUAGAGGGUGAGAGCCCCGUACGGUUGGACACCAAGCCUGUGUAAAGCUCCUUCGACGAGUCGAGUAGUUUGGGAAUGCUGCUCAAAAUGGGAGGUAUAUUUCUUCUAAAGCUAAAUACCGGCCAGAGACCGAUAGCGCACAAGUAGAGUGAUCGAAAGAUGAAAAGCACUUUGAAAAGAGGGUUAAACAGCACGUGAAAUUGUUAAAAGGGAAGCGCUUGUGACCAGACUUGCGCCCGGUGAAUCACCCAGCUCUCGCGGCUGGGGCACUUUGCCGGCUCAGGCCAGCAUCAGCUCGCCGUCGGGGACAAAAGCUUCGGGAACGUAGCUCUCUUCGGGGAGUGUUAUAGCCCGCUGCACAAUACCCUUCGGCGGGCUGAGGUACGCGCUCCGCAAGGAUGCUGGCGUAAUGGUCAUCAGCGACCCGUCUUGAAACACGGACCAAGGAGUCAACCUUAUGUGC
rnacentral:rRNA from 1 species